ensembl:processed_transcript 4930412C18Rik RIKEN cDNA 4930412C18 gene
UACUCAGGCCAACGAGGUGGGCAGGCCUGCUGCUAGGUGACCGAGUCCUCUUUGGCGGUUUUUAUUUCUCCAGCAACUUGCUCGCCUUCUGCUGUAGCUGAGUCUGGCGCGUAAGAUUCGUGGCGGCCCAGGCCCACGCCAAGGUUUGUGCCCGGCCCAGCCAGCGUGAAGUUUGAAACGGAGACCUCUGCCGGAAGGAGCGGGUCAUUGGCAGGACAGCGGUUUGGCCUCCUUCCCCUCCGCCCUUGCACAGCCUGGGGCGGUGAGGAGGUAUGGGAGUGGACCUGUGCGAUCUGACCGAGUACUGGGGCACUUGAACUCAGCUACGUACAUUCUAUCGCUGGUAUUUCCUUUCAGCGCUGGUGGCGAUCAGAGCAAUUAGCAUGCGAGCCCUCCGGCUGUUCCUCCAGCUUCUGCCAGGAUUGGAGGGUUAAUGCGAGAUGGCACAGCAUACGAGACUGAAGUGUGAAAGAAGUCAUAGAAGGCUUCCUGAGGACUUCGAGGCCACAGAGUGUCUCGUUAAGACCUGAUCAUGAGGCAUCAGGCCAUGCCUGCGGAGCUGUGGACAAACAUGAAGCAGUAGAACAGCAUUGUCAAAAUAUACUCACUGAAUUAUGUCAAGACCUUACAGCGCAGAAUUAUUUGAGGGAAACACCAAGUACCAUCAAAAAGAAUUGAAGCCUGACAACCAAGGCUUGAGGCUGACUUCUUUCUCUGAGGCUCCUCACUCCUGCGCCUCUUGAAUGCCUGACCCUGAAUGAAGCUUCUGUCAUCGAAGAUGGGAAGAGCAGGAGUGUAUCUGUAGUGGCUUUGAUGAGGAUGGAACCCACGUGGUUCCAGACUUUGCCUUUUACACUGACAGUGUUCCGGGAUCUCAAACAUGUCCCAUCCUGCUAGUUUGCUUUGCACCAUUUAAAAUGUCUUGUUUACUCUUCAGAGUUUCAUGUUGAUCUUGGCUUGGAAUAUAUGGCCUUUCUAAAUCUUGAAGGAAGACAUAUUUGUUACUGAGAAGUGGCCUGUGUUCUGUUUCUUUAUCCUCCUGAAUUCUGAAAGUUCAUCUAAGACAGAAAGCUGGCUUAGGUUCCCCCUGCAUCACUCACCCUUCCUGUUGCCAAAACGUGGGGAGUAGAGUAAGGCUUGUUGGAAUCACGGACCCAGAUGCGGAUGCUGGCCUGAUUCUCUAUUGCCCACAAAUAUUUAAUGAUAGUCUCUGUGCAUGGCACAGUAUGUUCAAUCAGUAACACUAUUGAUGAUGUUUUCAAGUUAUAGAAUCUUAAAAUCUAAACUGUAAGGAUUUCAUGUAUCUAUGCAAGAACUCUUUGUAAGGCAUUUAUUUGUUCUGCAUUAAUUCUAACCUAAAAGACAAAGGUAAAAAUAAAAACUAGUCCAAAGUCCAAAAUCUUACAGCCAUAGUAAUUCUUCCAAAGUCACAAGCAGGUGCCUUUUAAAAAUAGUAGUAUGCCGAGUGACUCACAGUGCUUGGAAUUAAAAGGUUAAGUGGACAUAAAGCGCACACCCAGGUUCUUGACAGCCUGGUGUAUGAAGAACAGAUUGGUUCGCACUGUGCCUGAGAAGCCCGUUAGAGCCCUGCCACAGAAGUGGGUACCGCAAGAUGGAUGGGAUCGCCCUUUCCUUCAGGAAGCAGGAAUCCCUGUAUUACAAGGACUCAAAUUCUGCCGCUAGGGGGCAGUGCCCCACAGCUCUGCAACUGGAAGGCACUGCACUGGGGAAGAUUUAUCCGUUUUGUAUCCUCACCAACUCCCUCUCCUUCAUUUCUCAGGAUGACAACACCUUGCAGGUUUAUGGCCGUCAGGAGAAUUUACUGCUAAGCCAUAUACUGAUGUAAUGAAAUCUAAUAUAUGCCGUGCCAUGAAUUAUGAGUUGUUAUUUAGUUUGGGGAUUUUAUUACUUCAAUCACUUAUGACCAUAUUUCCUUUUAUAUGAUUGCUCAUUCUUUAAACAUACCAGAUGACUAUACAUGGAACACCCAAUAAAGCCCAAAUAUGUUAAAACAUUGUUAAAAUAU